rnacentral:lncRNA from 1 species
CCGCCGCCGCCACCGGCCAUGCCCAGCCCCACCUUCAUCCUCUGGGCACGCCUAGUCGAACUCUACCGCGCCGUCAAGCAUUGCCGCCGGGAGCCGCCAUGCCGCCAUGGAUCAAAGCAGAUGCCGCAUCCCCACGGCGCCCUCGCCGUCGAACGAUCCGGGAGAAGGAGGAACAACCCUGCACCACCGCCAUCCAACGCUUGGGCUUAGUCCGGCACCAACCCCAGGCGGCAACGGAGGUGGAGAAGGGAUGAGAUCGGGGCGCUAGCGGCAGAGGUUGUCUCCUCUCGUGUCGGGGGCGACGAGAGAGGGUCCCUCCUCAUGUUCCGUUUUGGCUACAAGUCGCUUUCCUGCCUCUCCUCACACAGUAAUCAUCGUACUAUACACAUUGACUAGUUCAGCCACUCAACUUGAGGGAAAGUUUAAUUUUCACAAAGGUAUGUUGUCUCCUUGUGUUCAAAUAUUAAAGCAAUACCACCAAAGUAUUGCAACUAUUUACACCAAAAAAUGUAUUUACCGAACCGAAUAAACAGGCUUACCCCUACAGGGGAGGUCUUCUUAGUUAUUUUGAGUUGCUAGUUCGUUCUCGCAAAAUAAAACAAAAAUCCCACCAAUAAAAUAUGUUCCUGUUCAAAGUGGUGUUUGUUUUUUUACAUUAAAAACUGCCUGGUACCUUAAUUUUAUCUAAGAAAAGGAAGACAAAGAUGCAUACUUGUGCAUGCAAAACCUAAAGCUUAGAUCAAUGUAAAACUAGAAAAACAACAGCAACAUGAUCUCAAUGAGAGAAAAAAAAAACAAAGUAGGACGCAACUGAUGAUUAUGCAAGAAAUAAUUUGUUUCAAAAAAAAAUGUUUUUCUCUUUAGACCAGUGGUUCCAUAUCAGUCGACUAUUUGAUACACUUACUUGAGAUAUGUCUCACAAAAAUCGGCUAUGUUGGUGUGGCAGCCUUUCUUUUCAAGCGCGCACUACAUAGGCAAAAAAAAAACUUCAAAAUCAGACAGAUUUCUCCGACAGAAAGAAAUAAACAGAGUGCGUGAGAACUAAUUAGGAAGUGGAGAGGAAGAGCUAUGAACGUGUUGUAUGCUAAACAGGCAAAUAAAAGAUCAAAAAUGUGUCAGCAAUACAUUUGGUGUGUACGCGUACAUCUGGUGUGCAUGGUAAAAUAGAAGAAAUUGGUAUGCAAGAGUUGGAGCAGUUGAACAGACCUGGACGACUGCCUUCUUCCUAGUUAAGAAUUCACUCAGAAAUUUGAGACGAAACGAGACCACGGAUCCAUUAAGUAAUGCACCGGGUGGUGUGUGAUGUGCUAUUUGAGACCAAACGAGACCUCGGGUCCACGGUGCCAAUGUGGAACCAAAA